AGGGCUGUGGUGAAACGGCUAUCACUGUUGUCUCCAAAACAACAAUUCUGAGUUCGAAUCUCAGCAGCCCUG
rnacentral:tRNA from 1 species